UUGAUCCUGGCUCAGAUUGAACGCUGGCGGCAUGCUUUACACAUGCAAGUCGAACGGCAGCACGGGAGCUUGCUCCUGGUGGCGAGUGGCGAACGGGUGAGUAAUGCAUCGGAACGUACCCAGUAGUGGGGGAUAGCCCGGCGAAAGCCGGAUUAAUACCGCAUAUUUCCUGAGGGAGAAAGCGGGGGACCUUCGGGCCUCGCGCUACUGGAGCGGCUGAUGUCGGAUUAGCUAGUUGGUGAGGUAAAGGCUCACCAAGGCGACGAUCCGUAGCUGGUCUGAGAGGAUGAUCAGCCACACUGGGACUGAGACACGGCCCAGACUCCUACGGGAGGCAGCAGUGGGGAAUUUUGGACAAUGGGGGCAACCCUGAUCCAGCCAUGCCGCGUGAGUGAAGAAGGCCUUCGGGUUGUAAAGCUCUUUCAGGUGGAAAGAAAUCACUACCCCGAAUACGGGUGGUGGAUGACGGUACCAUCAGAAGAAGCACCGGCUAACUACGUGCCAGCAGCCGCGGUAA
rnacentral:rRNA from 1 species